ensembl:lncRNA
CAGAUCCAUUUGGAGGACGUGAAAUUGAGCAAAAGUUUUUUCGAAGCGCAACAGAGCAGGAAGACGAUGAAAUCAAAUCCAGAGAUAAGAGCGACAGGCAGUGACACAUCCACGCGAGUACAACCACAGGAAGUCCUUGGCACCAAACCGGUAUUUGGGCGGAUCCAUCAAAAUGUUAAUGCAUGAUCAGAAGUUCCAAAGCCAAAGGAUGUUUUAGCUUUUAUAGACAGUCAGACAUUCUUGUUUCAGAUGAAUUAAUUCCGUUAGCGAGACAAAGGAAGAGCUCCCUUAUAACAUUAAAAGCCACUCAGUGGUCUGGAACCAUCAUCUUCUCUGUGUUCGAUCACCUUCUAUUUCCAGCACUUAUUGAUUCCGUGUGGAAGUCUGUCGAUGGGCCGCGUCCCCGUAGGAAGGUGGACGCGUCCGUGUGUCGGGGGGGCGUUUGCAGGCGGAGCGGCCCGGAUGGCUCCCUGCAUGUACGUGAGAUGAGGAUGUGCUUGUUGAAGUGGUAAACAGACUGUUGGCCCCGUGCCAACCGUCCUGCAGCUGGAAGAGAAGAAGAAGGAGAAGAAGAAGAAGAAGAAGACGACGUCCCAGUAAACAGGAAGCAGUUCAUUACUGGUGAUACCCUGACAAUGAGGUUAUGUGCCGAUAAUUGGGAUUAAAUUGGGAGAUUAAAAUGCUUCCGCGGAGGCGUUUUCCC